rnacentral:tRNA from 1 species
GGUUUGUGGCUCAGUGGCAAAGCUCUCACCUAGCACGUGUGAGGCCCUGGGUUGGAUCCUCAGCACCA